GCUGGGUGUGGUGAUGCGCCCCUGUAAUCCCAGCUACUGGGAGGCUGAGGUGGGAGAAUUGCUUGAACCCAGGAGGUGGAAGCUGCAGUGAGCCGAGAUCGCACCACUGCACUCCAGCAGCCUGGGCAAUAGAGCAAGACCCUGUCUCAA
rnacentral:SRP_RNA from 1 species